rnacentral:ncRNA from 1 species
CAAAGGCUUGGUCCCAACUUUUCUAUCUGCUGUAGCUAAACUUACACAUGCAAGUAUCCGCACCCCUGUGAAAUGCCCUGCAAUUCCCCUUCCGGGAACAAGGAGCCGGUAUCAGGCACAGACCCCUGGCCCAUGACACCUCGCUUCGGCCACGCCCUCAAGGGAACCUAGCAGUGAUAAACCUUAAGCAAUGAGUGAAAACUCGACUUAGUUAAAGCUAAUAGGGCCGGUAAAUCUCGUGCCAGCCACCGCGGUUAUACGAAAGGCCCAAGUUGAUAGAUAUUGGCGUAAAGCGUGGUUAGGUAUUCAAAACACUAAAGCCGAAUGCCUACUCAGCUGUUAUACGCAUCCGAAGGUACGAAGUUCAUUCACGAAAGUGGCUUUAAUAAAAUCUGAACCCACGAAAGCUAAGGAACAAACUGGGAUUAGAUACCCCACUAUGCUUAGCCCUAAACAUUGGCAACACAAUACAUCUAGUUGCCCGCCUGGGAAUUACAAGCACCAGCUCAAAACCCAAAGGACUUGGCGGUGCUUUAGAUCCCCCUAGAGGAGCCUGUUCUAUAACCGACACCCCCCGUUCAACCUCACCCCUUCUUGCUUUAUCCGCUUAUAUACCACCGUCGUAAGCUUACCCUGUGAAGGCCUCAUAGUGAGCAGGACUGGUACAGCCCAGAACGUCAGGUCGAGGUGUAGCGUAUGGAGGGGGAAGAAAUGGGCUACAUUCCCUAACGCAGGGAACCACGGAUGCUGUGCUGAAACGCACAUUCUUUGAAGGUGGAUUUAGUAGUAAGCAUGAAAGUAGAGAGUUCUGCUGAAACCGGCUCUAAAGCGCGCACACACCGCCCGUCACUCU